UUAAUUGGAAGCGGUGUUUUGUGGGUAAAUUGGUCAAUUUCUGAAGAGAACUAUUUGCUUAUAGCCAACGUUUCGAAUUAUAUUUAAUUGAUCUUCAGAGCUCUACAAUAGAUAAAAAUAAAGGAUCGUUUACGCAAGAGAAUUGACUAGAAACAAAGAGUUUUCUUCAGAAAUUGAUCAAUUUACCCACAAAACACUACUUUGAAUUCAGAAACUUCCAUUAAACUGUCAUUGCUGUCAAUGUCAAAUGUAAAAUCCUAACCUAAGUCUUUCGUUUUUUUUUGUAACAGAUUUUUUCCGGACUUUUAAAUUGUUUUACAUUAAUAUUUCCUUUGAUGUUAUUUAACAACUUUUAGGCAAAAAUAGAGCGUUUGCGGUGCUAACGAGGCUCCCAAGCAGCAUAAAACACAUGUAAAUUAAGGAAAUCCCCUCUCUUGGAUCUUGAAUCUAACGAACUGCUAUAAAACCACCAUAUGUGCCUUUACCUGUAUCUUUUCUUGAAGGAUUUUAAGAUAAAGUGGCUUAAUCCCAAUUUAAUCACUCUUUCUAUUUAGUAAGCAAGAUGGGUUGGGUUAGACCAGGGACUGGUAUAUUUUAAUCCUCAACCCUAAUAGUCUCACAACCCUAUUUGGAAUUCUAAUUAGGUAAAACUAGUUAAUCUUAUAAUAAGGUUUAAAGGCAAACGCAUUGAAAUUUGAAAGUACUCAUUAAGGAUAUUUUGGUGGGAAAUAUAAGUUUUAUAUGGUGAAUAUUGGUAAAAAUUCGGAUGUUUCUAUGAACCGUAUUGCUUGGAAGAAAUAUGGAAUUUAUAUGGAGAAGGUUUAGUGCAAUGACACUAAAAUAAAAUAAUAUUGGUGCACAGUUAAGAAAAAUACCGGGUUACUUCAAAUUUUAUAGAAACUGAAGCUGUUAUGGAGUCAUUAUCUUUAGAAUCACGAUAAUAAUAGAAUCACGAGAGCAAUGUGAUUUUGUAUGAAAAUUAUUCUAAAUAUUAAAUACUACAAGGACAAGGUAUAAUGAAAAUAGCAACGAGUGACAUCAAACCAUCGUCCUGUUGACUGGUACUGAAAGCAGUAACCAUUUUGAUUUCACUGCUACUUCCUCGGAAAUUGUAGAAUUAGCGAAGGCGACUGAUGGCCUUUAUACCUUAAACAAUAUGACACUUUCAUGCAAUGGCGAAAAUUGAAAAGAGCUAAUUCGUUCUCCGAAAAUGUGAUUCUUGCCUAUUUUAGUCAGUUAGCUAAGUGUAAUAAAGCUUCAACACUAUGGAAAGUGUACUCAAUGAUUAGAACAACAAUUAACAAUAAACACAAUACAGAUAUAUUAAAAUAUGCCAGGCUACGAGCAUUUUUGAAAAAACAAAUCUGAUGGUUAUCAAGGAAAAAAAUCAAAGAUAUUAACUGGAGAAGAAGUCAACCAUUUUAUAAAUAAUUCUCCAGAUCAUAUUUAUAUUGCUACAAAGGUUGCUGUGAUAUUAGGAAUUAUGGGAGCUUGUCGAAGACAGGAGCUCUACUUAAUGAAAGUUCAGGAUAUUGAGAACUUGGGGUCCGCUAUAAUAAUAAAUGUUCCUGAUACAAAAACUAAUGUGCCUAGACAAUUUACAAUCACUGGAAAGUUUUAUACCUUAUUUAAAAAAUAUUAUCACUACGGCCACCAGAUAUUGCGAUAAAUAGUAUCUUCACUAACUUUCAAAAUGGACGCUGCACCAAGCAAGUGAUUGGAAUAAACAAACUAGGAAAUUUUCGAAUCAUUAUUUUCGAAGAACAUCUCCAACAAUGCUUGUGGAUUCUGGGGCAAAUAUAGAAACAUUAAAAAGACACGAAGGGUGGAAAUCUACAGAAAUUGCUGAAGGAUAUGUAGAUAACUCAUUACGAAACUGCCUAAAUGUUUCAAGUCAAAUAAUGUCCCAAAUUAAUGAAAAUGCGGAACCAGCACUCAAAAAACCCAAAUUUCAGCAAAAAAAACUGUAGGAACUUCAAGUAGAGCUUCCUUGUGCAAGUACUAACUCCCAACAGCAAAACAUAUUUGCCUCAUUAACGACUAAAAACAUAUCGGAUUCCCCUAAAAAUAUUACAAUUCAAAAUUCUACUGGAAUUACAAUAAAUAUAGAUAACAAAAAUCUUUAAAAAGUUUUUUGAUAGUUUUUGUUUGUUCAAGAAUGAUAAAUAAAAAAAAAUUUUUUUUUAUCGAGUAAUAUAAAUUUAAUUUAAAUUUUUAA